GAUGAACGCUGGCGGCGUGCUUAACACAUGCAAGUCGAACGGUGAAGGCGGAGCUUGCUCUGCUGGAUCAGUGGCGAACGGGUGAGUAACACGUGAGCAAUCUGCCCCUGACUCUGGGAUAAGCGCUGGAAACGGCGUCUAAUACUGGAUACGAGCUGCGAAGGCAUCUUCAGCAGCUGGAAAGAAUUUCGGUCAGGGAUGAGCUCGCGGCCUAUCAGCUUGUUGGUGAGGUAAUGGCUCACCAAGGCGUCGACGGGUAGCCGGCCUGAGAGGGUGACCGGCCACACUGGGACUGAGACACGGCCCAGACUCCUACGGGAGGCAGCAGUGGGGAAUAUUGCACAAUGGGCGAAAGCCUGAUGCAGCAACGCCGUGUGAGGGACGACGGCCUUCGGGUUGUAAACCUCUUUUAGCAGGGAAGAAGCGAAAGUGACGGUACCUGCAGAAAAAGCGCCGGCUAACUACGUG
rnacentral:rRNA from 1 species